rnacentral:lncRNA from 1 species
AGCAUGGCAGUGGGGGUCUAAGACGAGGGGGCUUAAUCUGAGAAACUGAUUUGGUUUUCCUUUCAGGGGCAGAGGACGAGCUUGAGAAGGAGGGUCAGUGCAGUUAAGCUGGAGCUCUUGACAUUUUAAGAGCAGAAAAGAAUUCUGGAAAAAACUGGGACAGGAGCCAGGCUCGGCGAUGGGUGGAGUGAAAUCCGAUGGUAUCUACUGUGUGCAAGGCUGUGUGCCAAGUGCUAGGGAUAGAAGGUAAAUAGAGCCCUGGUUCCUGUCUAUACACCUGCUGGGACAGAUGGACAGGACAACACAUCAGUGAGCAUGCCCGUCUAGGGCAUCUGCGCCAGGGAACCUGCGGACCCGGCCGACCUGUCAGGUACCUACUGCAUUUGGAAACAAACCAUCUUCUGGCCGACUGGGGAGCCCAGUGAGGGUUUGUGCUGCCUUAUCUGACUUUGCAAAAUAGAGCCUUUCUCAGCACCCUGUCUUUAAAGAUGGGAGAAGCCACAUGGAGGAUGAGUGCCUAGUCCUUUGGCUCUUGAAAGCAGAAGCAGUUUGAUUUAGGGAGUAGGAAAUAGCCAGGAAAAAAAAGAAGAAAAUACAUACACACACACACACAACCUGAAUACAGAUAGGAUUCCUUUGGAGAGGAGGGGCGGGCGGGCAAUUGCAACCUUAUCCCCUGGGACUUGGGCUCAGGAGCCCAGCCUCGAGGUUCAGUGAACCCGUUAGUAACAUGAACUUGGUCGCAGUAUUUCUCAGCCCGAGCUCAUGCAUUAUUUACCUGGAGUAAGUAAACCUGCUUCUCUCACUGUUGCUGGGGAAACCACUUUGAUUUAGCAAGUUCUGUCUUACUCUCCAACUAAAACAUUACAGAGUGGGAGGGAGGAAGAGGGGCCACCCGGGCUCCCAGAGGCUCAGGGUGUGGAUCAAUGUAGGGGAGUCCCUACUUCCCCCAGGAGAGCCCAACUGGGAAAGAAUGGAG